UUUCGAAUCAUUCACAAUGGGCGAAAGCCUGAUGGUGCGACGCCGCGUGAGGGAUGAAGGUCUUCGGAUUGUAAACCUCUGUCACCGGGGAAGAAACGCUUUGAGUUAAUAGUUCAAAGCCUGACUUAACCCGGAGAGGAAGCAGUGGCUAACUCUGUGCCAGCAGCCGCGGUAAUACAGAGACUGCAAGCGUUAUUCGGAUUCACUGGGCGUAAAGGGUGCGCAGGCGGCCAAGUGUGUGAGGCGUGAAAGCCCGAUGCUUAACAUCGGAAUUGCACCUCAAACUACAUGGCUAGAGCAUUGGAGAGGGUAGCGGAAUUCACGGUGUAGCAGUGAAAUGCGUAGAUAUCGUGAGGAACACCAGAGGCGAAGGCGGCUACCUGGACAAUUGCUGACGCUCAGGCACGAAAGCGUGGGGAGCAAAAG
rnacentral:rRNA from 1 species